rnacentral:SRP_RNA from 1 species
CAUGAAGCUAGGCCGGGGUGCUCAUCCUACCCUGUUACCCUAAACGGAUGCCGAGGGGGCUGAAGCCAGGAGAGCGGUAGUAGGGCUUGCAUAGGGUCUUGGCCUGUACAAGGAAGUCCUGUCCUGGAUGAUCGGCUUUCUCGGGAACCACGUCAGGUCCGGAAGGAAGCAGCGUUAACCAGUAAGGCUGGUGUAUCCAGGGAAGCGGGAUGGAGGAAGGGAUCAAGGUAGCCUUGUGCAGAUCUUAUUAUCCAUCUUCUGGCGUGCUUCACU